rnacentral:rRNA from 1 species
ACGAAUUCGCCCUUAGGUUUGACUCAUGGCUCAGGAUGAACGCCAGCGACAGGCUUAACACAUGCAAGUCGAGGGGCAGCAUAAAAGUAGCAAUACUUUGGUGGCGACCGGCGCACGGGUGAGUAACGCGUAUGCAACCUACCUAUCAGAGGGGAAUAACCCGGCGAAAGUCGGACUAAUACCGCAUAAAACAGGGGCACCGCAUGGUGAUAUUUGUUAAAGAGAUUCGCUGAUAGGUGGGCAUGCGUUCCAUUAGGUAGUUGGUGAGGUAACGGCUCACCAAGCCGACGAUGGAUAGGGGAACUGAGAGGUUGGUCCCCCACACUGGUACUGAGACACGGACCAGACUCCUACGGAAGGCAGCAGUGAGGAAUAUUGGUCAAUGGGCGAGAGCCUGAACCAGCCAAGUCGCGUGAAGGAAGAAGGAUCUAUGGUUCGUAAACUUCUUUUGCAGGGGAAUAAAGUGCAGGACGUGUCCUGUUUUGUAUGUACCCUGAGAAUAAGGAUCGGCUAACUCCGUGCCAGCAGCCGCGGUAAUACGGAGGAUCCGAGCGUUAUCCGGAUUUAUUGGGUUUAAAGGGUGCGUAGGUGGUUUGAUAAGUCAGCGGUGAAAGUUUGCAGCUUAACUGUAAAAAUGCCGUUGAAACUGUCGGACUUGAGUGUAAAUGAGGUAGGCGGAAUGCGUGGUGUAGCGGUGAAAUGCAUAGAUAUCACGCAGAACUCCGAUUGCGAAGGCAGCUUACUAAGCUACAACUGACACUGAAGCACGAAAGCGUGGGGAUCAAACAGGAUUAGAUACCCUGGUAGUCCACGCAGUAAACGAUGAUUACUAGCUGUUUGCGAUACACAGUAAGCGGCACAGCGAAAGCGUUAAGUAAUCCACCUGGGGAGUACGCCGGCAACGGUGAAACUCAAAGGAAUUGACGG